CACGUAGUUAGCCGUGGCUUUCUGGUUAGGUACCGUCAAGGUGCCGCCCUAUUCGAACGGUACUUGUUCUUCCCUAACAACAGAGUUUUACGAUCCGAAAACCUUCAUCACUCACGCGGCGUUGCUCCGUCAGACUUUCGUCCAUUGCGGAAGAUUCCCUACUGCUGCCUCCCGUAGGAGUCUGGGCCGUGUCUCAGUCCCAGUGUGGCCGAUCACCCUCUCAGGUCGGCUACGCAUCGUCGCCUUGGUGAGCCAUUACCUCACCAACUAGCUAAUGCGCCGCGGGUCCAUCUGUAAGUGGUAGCUAAAAGCCACCUUUUAUGAUUGGAACCAUGCGGUUCAAUCAAGCAUCCGGUAUUAGCCCCGGUUUCCCGGAGUUAUCCCAGUCUUACAGGCAGGUUACCCACGUGUUACUCACCCGUCCGCCGCUGACCUAAGGGAGCAAGCUCCCGUCGGUCCGCUCGACUUGCAUGUAUUAGGCACGCCGCCAGCGUUCGUCCUGAGCCAGGAUCAAACUCU
rnacentral:rRNA from 1 species